CUCGAAAGAGUGAACUAGCUAACUGAAAUCACUUUAGAAGUGAUAAUGUAAGGGAAAAUAAUGAUACUACCUUACUAUAAGUGUUGUCCAAAACUGGUGCCAGAAGACUCGGUAAGGCCAGAAACGCGAACGUUAGUCAUCUUAAACAGGCGUAAAGGGUUUGUAGGCAGCUUUGAAAUCCUGAUUUUUAAAAAAUAGCGUCCUUACUCCUUCUUCCUAUCCUCCUUCCCUAUCCUGCCCUCCGUCCGGAGGAUAGGGUAGGGAUAGGGUAGGAACAGGACGGAGGAUAGUAAAAAGAGGGAAAUUAGAAGAUAGAAUCAAAUAUAGGAAAAUUCGAAUAAAUUCUAGAAGAGGGUUAAUAUCCGAAGAUACUAGAAUGAAUGCUUAAGGCGAAGGCCUUUUUCCAUAAAUGAUUGACGCUCAGAAACGAAGGAUAGGAUAGGAAACAGGAUUAGAUACCCUGGUACCCCUUUCAGUCAACGAUGAAUGGUAGUCACUAAUUAAAGUAUUGGUGUCAAUGUUAACACGUUAACCAUUCCGCCUUGUGAGUACGAUUGCAAAGUUGAAAACAAAAAAAUUAGUCGGUCUCGAAGCAAACGAAGUGAAGCAU
rnacentral:rRNA from 1 species